rnacentral:rRNA from 1 species
UACAGAGGUCGCGAGCGUUGUUCGGAUUUACUGGGCGUAAAGGGCGCGUAGGCUGCGAGGCGUGUCGGAUGUGAAAUCUCCGGGCCCAACCCGGAAAGUGCGUCCGAAACUGCCCCGCUCGAGGACGGAAGGGGGAAUCGGAAUAUAGGGUGUAGCGGUGAAAUGCGUUGAUAUCCUAUAGAACACCGGAGGCGAAGGCGGAUUCCUGGUACGUAUCUGACGCUGAGGCGCGAAAGUCGGGGGAGCAAAC